UGCCAGCCGCCGCGGUAAUACGGAGGGGGUUAGCGUUGUUCGGAAUUACUGGGCGUAAAGCGUACGUAGGCGGAUUAAUAAGUUAGAGGUGAAAUCCCAGGGCUCAACCCUGGAACUGCCUUCAAAACUUACAGACUAGAGUACGAAAGAGGAGAGCAGAAUUCAUGGUGUAGCGGUGAAAUGCGUAGAUAUCAUGAGGAAUACCAGUGGCGAAGGCGGCUCUCUGGUUCGAGACUGACAUUGAGGUGCGAAAGCGUGGGUAGCAAACAGGAUUAGAUA
rnacentral:rRNA from 1 species